rnacentral:rRNA from 1 species
GACGUAGGGUCCAAGCGUUGUCCGGAUUUACUGGGCGUAAAGAGCGCGUAGGCGGUCUGUUAAGUGUAGAGUGAAAUCUCCAGGGCUCAACCCGGAAACUGCUCUGCAUACUGGCAGACUUGAGGGCGGUAGAGAGAAGUGGAAUGGCUGGUGUAGCGGUGAAAUGCGUAGAUAUCAGUCGGAACACCGGUGGCGAAGGCGGCUUCUUGGGCCGUACCUGACGCUGAGGCGCGAAAGCCAGGGGAGCGAACGGG